UACGUAGGGCGCAAGCGUUAUCCGGAAUUAUUGGGCGUAAAGAGCUCGUAGGCGGUUUGUCGCGUCUGCCGUGAAAGUCCGGGGCUCAACUCCGGAUCUGCGGUGGGUACGGGCAGACUAGAGUGAUGUAGGGGAGACUGGAAUUCCUGGUGUAGCGGUGAAAUGCGCAGAUAUCAGGAGGAACACCGGUGGCGAAGGCGGGUCUCUGGGCCGAUACUGACGCUGAGGAGCGAAAGCGUGGGGAGCAAACAGG
rnacentral:rRNA from 1 species